GCAAACUUGGUCAUUUAGAGGAAGUAAAAGUCGUAACAAGGUUUCCGUAGGUGAACCUGCGGAAGGAUCAUUAAAAAAAAAAUUAUCCAUCAAGGUAUACCCUUUGUGCAAUUAUUGAGAAAAAGUUAGUCUUUGGGAGAUUGAAAUCAAUCUCCCAAAGGUUGAUUUAAUCUAUUGAAAUUUUUCUGAUAAAUAUUUAUUGUCUUAUAAUAAUUUUUACGAGAAUUUAAAUAAAACAACUUUCAACAACGGAUCUCUUGGCUCUCGCAUCGAUGAAGAACGCAGC
rnacentral:misc_RNA from 1 species